AGUAGCAAUGGAAAAGAAAAAGUCCGUGUGAUCAUUUGCAAACACAAAUUCCUAUUUUUUACGACCGAAAGAGGAAUAGAGUUUGGGCAGCAUAGCCCUACGGCAACGCAGUGCAGAGCCAUAGCAGGGAGACACAGCAGAAACAUGCUUAUGUUUCAUCUGUCUUAAAACCAAGGAGGGUGACCUUGGAGGAGGACUAAAUGAAAAUUUCUCUACAUCUAUUGUCCAUUCAGUGGCACGUGUACACAUCACAGUUCCUCUUGUCAAGUCUCCAGAUAGAGUUCUCCAGACAACUUGCCUCUACUGUGACUUAAAGGUGCUCUGCUGAAAAAUGAGAUACCCCAAAAUAAAUGAGAUAUGACACCCGCCUUUGAAGAAUUCGUAACCUUGGUGGCUACGUAAACAUGGAAAGCGUUCGUGGUGCUUGUUCAUAAUGGAGAGAAGUGGGCGUUCCGGUGAGAUCAGAAACGAGAGCGCGCACAGUCCUGCCCCAGAAGAACGGGAAAGUUUUCAGAGAAGCAGUGAUGAUUGAUUUCCUUGAGAGGAAAACUGGAGUUUGGUAA